UUUUAGCUAUAGCUUUAUCAGAAACUUAAGUGAAACGGCAAGAACCACUUCGUCGCCCUAUCCCCUGAUGUACUGCUUUUGAGUGUCCAGUUUAAUGCCAGCUUGUCCUUUGAGAAAUACCGACUCGGCUGAAGUCAGGCAAUUUCAAUAAAAAAACACUUAACUAUUAAUUUCUGCGUGCCUUCAUAUGCUAUCUUCAGAAGAUUUUUUGUGCUGAAAUUGGCUAGUAAUCGUCCUUUAGUCUAAUCCCCAAUAAAUUCUCAGUUGUCUAAGCUGGCAUUUAUAUCUUGGAUCCGUUUUCAAUCUUUUUUUUCCUACAAAGAACUUCAGAACCCAGCAUAUUAUUACUCUGAAUUUUUUCACUAUUUUUAAUUAAGAUCAGUUAGAGUUUAUCAGAAAAUGAUAGGCAAGUUAGUCAAGUUACUGUCAUGUGAAGGAUUUGGUAGCUAUCUAUGUAAUGCGCCUACUUGAGUCUCUUAGGCCCCAUUUGAUAACAAGUGAAUGAGUGGAUUGCUGGCUCAUUCAGAACCUCGUCCCGUUAAGAUCAUUUGUUUAGCAGUUAUUUCAACUAGACGAUACAAGAAAAGCGCUGGACGACAGAGCCUAACUUACCUUCACUCAAUCGUCCAGCUAAUAAUCCUCCUCUACUCCUCUUCUCUCUUUGAUAACAAUAAUAAUUACUGCCACAUUUUUUCCCUUUUAAAAAUCGUUUGAAUAAUGUUUUUUUAUAUACUUGUUUGUUGUUGAAUAUAUAAAUAUUUUUUUAAGAUGUCAAAUUUACCAAUUUUCUUAUAACCUUUUUUAAUUUAUGUUUUAUUAAUAUAUAAAUUAAAAUGGAGGAAAAAGUGAUGAAUGAACAAGAGAAUAAAUUUUUUAUUAAUAAAAAUGAAUACAGAACCGAAAGAAGGCUCCUACAAAUAUAACGUUAGUCAUUUACAGGAAUAUAUUUAAAAAUAAUCACCAUCCAGAUAAAUUUAAAUAAUUAUUAACAAAUAACAAUCAUUCAUUCAGAAAUUCAGAUUAACUAUUCAUCCAGAUUUCCCGUCAUCCAAAAUCAGCUAUCCAGAUUUAACAAAUGACCCCUUAGUGCCGCAGGUUUUGUCAUUCUUUUGUCAGGCUUCUAUUUUUAUAUCUCCCUAACCUUGGGUUAGAUGUCAUUUGUUGGACAAAAUUACAAUUAUUUAGUAGUUUCUUUCAGAAUUCCCUCCAAACAUGGAAAAAUUAUCGAAAUCAUUAAUAAUUAAACGGUUUUUCUAUGGUGUGCCCAUGGGCACAUGUUAAGCGCGGAAAUUUUUGUGUUUAGAUCAUUUUGAUUGGCUACUACUUCUUAAUAAUGGUGGACCCUCUGCAAAUACACCAACC
rnacentral:lncRNA from 1 species